rnacentral:misc_RNA from 1 species
AACGCACCUUGCACCCUUUGGUAUUCCGAAGGGUACACCCGUUUGAGUGUCAUUGUAAUCUCACUCCACCAGCUAUUUGUUGAUGGAUGUGGACCUGGACUCUGUUGUGUUACUACAACUGGUCUGAAAUGCAUGAGUGCACCCUGCUAUUGCAGCGUUUUCAGUGUGAUAAGCAUCUUCACUGGACCAAGCUCCCUUGGGACACGCAGCAUUGUGGGCUCUGUGCUGGCAAACUGUCUUUGGACAACUUUGACAAUUUGACCUCAGAUCGGGUGGGACUACCCGCUGAACUUAA